rnacentral:snRNA from 1 species
CCACUUGGGUCAAAGAAAGAAGCAUUUGAUCAUGAAGGAGGUUUUUUCCCAGGGUGAGGCUCAGCCAUUGCACUCCGGCUGUGCUGACCCCUGCAAUUUCCCCAAAUGCGGAAAACUCAACUUCAUUUUUCCAGAANGUUUGUGAAGAUGUUGAACUGCAUAUG